ACGGGUGAGUAACGCGUAGGUAACCUGCCUGGUAGCGGGGGAUAACUAUUGGAAACGAUAGCUAAUACCGCAUAAGAGUAGAUGUUGCAUGACAUUUGCUUAAAAGGUGCAAUUGCAUCACUACCAGAUGGACCUGCGUUGUAUUAGCUAGUUGGUGGGGUAACGGCUCACCAAGGCGACGAUACAUAGCCGACCUGAGAGGGUGAUCGGCCACAUUGGGACUGAGACACGGCCCUUACUCCUACGGGAGGCAGCAGUGGGGAAUAUUGGACAAUGGACCGAGAGUCUGAUCCAGCAAUUCUGUGUGCACGAUGAAGUUUUUCGGAAUGUAAAGUGCUUUCAGUUGGGAAGAAAGAAAUGACGGUACCAACAGAAGAAGUGACGGCUAAAUACGUGCCAGCAGCCGCGGUAAUACGUAUGUCACGAGCGUUAUCCGGAUUUAUUGGGCGUAAAGCGCGUCUAGGUGGUUAUAUAAGUCUGAUGUGAAAAUGCAGGGCUCAACUCUGUAUUGCGUUGGAAACUGUAUAACUAGAGUACUGGAGAGGUAAGCGGAACUACAAGUGUAGAGGUGAAAUUCGUAGAUAUUUGUAGGAAUGCCGAUGGGGAAGCCAGCUUACUGGACAGAUACUGACGCUG
rnacentral:rRNA from 1 species